GAUGAACGCUAGCGGCAGGCCUAAUACAUGCAAGUCGAACGGGAUCCAGAUCAAAGCUUGCUUUGGUCUGGUGAGAGUGGCGCACGGGUGCGUAACGCGUGAGCAACCUACCCUUGUCAGGGGGAUAGCCCGGCGAAAGUCGGAUUAAUACCGCAUGACAUCAUUGAGAGGCAUCUUUCGAUGAUCAAAGAUUUAUCGGACAAGGAUGGGCUCGCGUGACAUUAGCUAGUUGGUAAGGUAACGGCUUACCAAGGCUGCGAUGUCUAGGGGCUCUGAGAGGAGAAUCCCCCACACUGGUACUGAGACACGGACCAGACUCCUACGGGAGGCAGCAGUAAGGAAUAUUGGGCAAUGGACGGAAGUCUGAACCAGCCAUGCCGCGUGCAGGAAGACGGCCCUAUGGGUUGUAAACUGCUGUUAUACGGGAACAAACGUCGGUACGUGUACCGGUCUGAGUGUACCGUAAGAAUAAGGAUCGGCUAACUCCGUG
rnacentral:rRNA from 1 species